CCAGGAGGAUAGGAAGAAGUCCAAGAAGGAGUGGGUGAGCUGGAAACAGAAUGGUGGUCUUGAUAGAGCUUGGUUGGCUCCAGCAAUGUUGUGAGAUAAGAAGCAAUUAGGAGGGACAGAGCCUGAGGCCUCAUUCCGUGACGACAUAUGGAAACCAACUCCAUGGAGGCCCACCAAUUUCCAACUGAUGCCAAAUCUGGAUUACUUUUGAUGCUUGAAGGAGUUUUGGCCUUGAUCAAGGUCACCCAAGCAGGUGCAUUUUUCCACACACGGUACUUGGCUGCAGAACUGCGUUGCAAAAUCUGGAGAAGUGCCCAUUUAAAAGGGGUUGGUUUUGGUUCCUGCAUUGUUUCAGGACGUGCGAAUCAGGUAGAGCUGCCAUCCUGAUAUGGUGGACUGGCUCACUGGUAAUAUCAGAUCAUUGGCACAUAAACAGACACAAAAGCUGAAAAGACAGGACAUCACUGAGUACUAAAACGCUAAGAAAUAGCACUGUAGGCAACUGAUGCUCUGCUUGUGAACUUCCCUUGAGCAACUGGCCAGCCACAGUCCAUCAGCUGUUGAGCCAGGCAGACUAUUGCUUCGGACCCUGUCAGUC